rnacentral:rRNA from 1 species
GAUGAACGCUGGCGGCGUGCCUAAUACAUGCCAGUCGAGCGAACAGACGAGGAGCUUGCUCCUCUGACGUUAGCGGCGGACGGGUGAGUAACACGUGGAUAACCUACCUAUAAGACUGGGAUAACUUCGGGAAACCGGAGCUAAUACCGGAUAAUAUAUUGAACCGCAUGGUUCAAUAGUGAAAGACGGUUUUGCUGUCACUUAUAGGUGGAUCCGCGCCGCAUUAGCUAGUUGGUAAGGUAACGGCUUACCAAGGCAACGAUGCGUAGCCGACCUGAGAGGGUGAUCGGCCACACUGGAACUGAGACACGGUCCAGACUCCUACGGGAGGCAGCAGUAGGGAAUCUUCCGCAAUGGGCGAAAGCCUGACGGAGCAACGCCGCGUGAGUGAUGAAGGUCUUCGGAUCGUAAAACUCUGUUAUUAGGGAAGAACAAAUGUGUAAGUAACUAUGCACGUCUUGACGGUACCUAAUCAGAAAGCCACGGCUAACUACGUG